AUGGCUCAGGAUGAACGCUGGCGGCGUGCUUAACACAUGCAAGUCGAACGAAGCUCCCCGAUUUGAGUUUCGGACAAGAUGAAGGGAUGACUUAGUGGCGGACGGGUGAGUAAUGCGUGAGCAACCUGCCCUUCAGUGGGGGACAACAGUUGGAAACGACUGCUAAUACCGCAUAAAGUAUUCGGAAGGCAUCUUUUGAAUACCAAAGAUUUUAUCGCUGAAGGAUGGGCUCACGUCUGAUUAGCUAGUUGGUGAGGUAAUGGCUCACCAAGGCUGCGAUCAGUAGCCGGACUGAGAGGUUGACCGGCCACAUUGGGACUGAGAUACGGCCCAGACUCCUACGGGAGGCAGCAGUGGGGAAUAUUGGGCAAUGGGCGCAAGCCUGACCCAGCAACGCCGCGUGAAGGAAGAAGGCUUUCGGGUUGUAAACUUCUUUUAGCAGGGACGAAACAAAUGACGGUACCUGCAGAAUAAGCACCGGCUAACUACGUGCCAGCAGCCGC
rnacentral:rRNA from 1 species